rnacentral:rRNA from 1 species
UUUAUUGAGAGUUUGAUCCUGGCUCAGGACGAACGCUGGCGGCGUGCCUAACACAUGCAAGUCGAGCGAUGAAGCUUCUUCGGAAGUGGAUUAGCGGCGG